rnacentral:misc_RNA from 1 species
GAAAUGCGAUAAGUAAUGUGAAUUGCAGAAUUCAGUGAAUCAUCGAAUCUUUGAACGCACAUUGCGCCCGCCAGUAUUCUGGCGGGCAUGCCUGUUCGAGCGUCAUUACAACCCUCAGGCCCCCGGGCCUGGCGUUGGGGAUCGGCGGAAGCCCCCUGCGGGCACAACGCCGUCCCCCAAAUACAGUGGCGGUCCCGCCGCAGCUUCCAUUGCGUAGUAGCUAACACCUCGCAACUGGAGAGCGGCGCGGCCACGCCGUAAAACACCCAACUUCUGAAUGUUGACCUCGAAUCACGUAGGAAUACCCGCUGAACUUAAGC